rnacentral:rRNA from 1 species
UGGCUCAGGAUGAACGCUGGCGGCGUGCUUAACACAUGCAAGUCGAACGCACCUUCGGGUGAGUGGCGGACGGGUGAGUAACGCGUGGGAACCUGCCCUCAGGAGGGGGAUAACGGCUGGAAACGGCCGCUAAUACCCCAUAUGCCGAGAGGUGAAAUGAAAUUCGCCUGAGGAUGGGCCCGCGUCUGAUUAGCUAGUUGGUGGGGUAAGAGCCUACCAAGGCGACGAUCAGUAGCUGGUCUGAGAGGAUGAUCAGCCACACUGGGACUGAGACACGGCCCAGACUCCUACGGGAGGCAGCAGUGGGGAAUUUUCCGCAAUGGGCGAAAGCCUGACGGAGCAACGCCGCGUGAGGGAUGAAGGCCUCUGGGCUGUAAACCUCUUUUCUCAAGGAAGAAGAACUGACGGUACUUGAGGAAUAAGCCACGGCUAAUUCCGUGCCAGCAGCCGCGGUAAUACGGGAGUGGCAAGCGUUAUCCGGAAUUAUUGGGCGUAAAGCGUCCGCAGGUGGCCUUGUAAGUCUGUCGUUAAAGCGUGGAGCUUAACUCCAUUUCGGCGAUGGAAACUACAAGGCUAGAGUGUGGUAGGGGCAGAGGGAAUUCCCGGUGUAGCGGUGAAAUGCGUAGAUAUCGGGAAGAACACCAGUGGCGAAGGCGCUCUGCUGGGCCAUCACUGACACUCAUGGACGAAAGCCAGGGGAGCGAAAGGGAUUAGAUACCCCUGUAGUCCUGGCCGUAAACGAUGAACACUAGGUGUCGGGGGAAUCGACCCCCUCGGUGUCGUAGCCAACGCGUUAAGUGUUCCGCCUGGGGAGUACGCACGCAAGUGUGAAACUCAAAGGAAUUGACGGGGGCCCGCACAAGCGGUGGAGUAUGUGGUUUAAUUCGAUGCAACGCGAAGAACCUUACCAGGGUUUGACAUCCUGCGAAUCCCUUGGAAACGAGGGAGUGCCUUCGGGAGCGCAGAGACAGGUGGUGCAUGGCUGUCGUCAGCUCGUGUCGUGAGAUGUUGGGUUAAGUCCCGCAACGAGCGCAACCCACGUCGUUAGUUGCCAGCAUUCAGUUGGGCACUCUAGCGAGACCGCCGGUGAUAAACCGGAGGAAGGUGUGGAUGACGUCAAGUCAUCAUGCCCCUUACAUCCUGGGCUACACACGUACUACAAUGCUACGGACAAAGGGCAGCGAGCUCGCGAGAGUAAGCAAAUCCCAUAAACCGUGGCUCAGUUCAGAUCGUAGGCUGCAACUCGCCUACGUGAAGGAGGAAUCGCUAGUAAUCGCAGGUCAGCAUACUGCGGUGAAUACGUUCCCGGGCCUUGUACACACCGCCCGUCACACCAUGGAAGUUGGCCACGCCCGAAGUCGUUACUCCAACCCUUGUGGAGGAGGACGCCGAAGGUGGGGCUGAUGACUGGGGUGAAGUCGUAACAAGGUAGCCGUACCGGAAGGUGCGGCUGGAUCACCUCCU